rnacentral:rRNA from 2 species
AAUAUUGGUCAAUGGACGCAAGUCUGAACCAGCCAUGCCGCGUGGAGGGAUGAAGGCCCUCUGGGGUUGUAAACUUCUUUUCUUUGGGACGAAACCCCUGUUUCUUACGGGGACUGACGGUACCAGAGGAAUAAGCACCGGCUAACUCCGUGCCAGCAGCCGCGGUAAUACGGAGGGUGCAAGCGUUAUCCGGAUUCACUGGGUUUAAAGGGAGCGUAGGUGGGCUUUUAAGUCAGUGGUGAAAUCUUUGGGCUUAACCCGAAAACUGCCAUUGAUACUAUUAGUCUUGAAUUCUCUGGAGGUAAGCGGAUAUGUCAUGUAGCGGUGAAAUGCUUAGAUAUGACAUAGAACACCCAUUGCGAAGGCAGCUUACUACGGAGACAUUGACACUGAGGCUCGAAAGCGUGGGGAUCAAACAGGAUUAGAUACCCUGGUAGUCCACGCCCUAAACGAUGAUUACUCGACAUUAGCGAUAUUACAGUUAGUGUCUAAGCGAAAGCAUUAAGUAAUCCACCUGGG